rnacentral:lncRNA from 1 species
CAGCCUGCAGCGGGGGAGAGUGAGAGGGAAGGAACGUGGUGGGGGUGGGGGAGGCCUGGGGGCCUGGAGAGGAAAGGACUCACCUCAGUGUCCAUCUGUCUGUCCUCUUCUGCCUGUCUGUCCUUUGUGUCCAGGAAUUCCCCAGACAGUGGGGAGGGAGGAGAGGCCAUUUCUCUCCUAGGUCUGGAGUGUUUCACCUCGGCAUACGUCACUGCCUGGGGGUCUUCAUCGUGUGGGCUCUGCUGGAGAGAGACAG